UAUAUUGGCCAGUUGUAAAAAUAAUUUAUUCCCUGAAGAGUUUUAUUUCUUUAACAUUUCAAAUUUUUUUGUUCAGUGUUUACCAUGUGACCAUUUUUGACAGAGUGAAAGGAAUACUUUAUUAAAGGAGCUAAUAUAGCUCCUUUUCUUAUGCACAUUUUGACCAUUUUUUAAAAUAAAAGAUCUGGAUGGGAUUUCUAGUAACGCAGAAAAUCUAGUAAACUUUUUUUUUCUUGCAAGUUUCUUUGCAUUACUGUAUUGUCAUCAUGAGGGAGAAAAAAGGAAAUCCUGUCCGGAUUUCUGAUAAAGCUCUAGACCUGCCUACAGAGGACCAAACCCACUUUCCUCCCUUCUUCUAUGUACAUCUUUUUUCUUAAGCUUGCUUCUACCAAGGACUGCAUAGAAUAAAGAUGAGUUCCUUACAGACUAGAAGCCCAGUAGAAGAGCCAUUGUGAUGAAAACCUGUCAAGCAAGCACAGAGCCACUACAGAACUAGCAGGAAAGCUUGCUCAAGCACUAUUCAUUGACUGACAUUGACAGGUAGCUCUGGGACUUAGUUUUCUCUGUAAGUAGCUCAAAUCAUAACGAAAAGAGCUGUCAUGAUGAGGAAGAUGCCCACUUGGAUUAAAAGGGCAAACCUAUGUCGCAUUUGAGAACACCGUAUUGUGGAGGCAGGAACCCAGGUCAUGUUCAGCAGAGGCCUGUGACAUCACAGAACAGGGUGACAUCAUUACACAUGCCUCACUUAUGGCCAUACAUAGUACAGAAUCAAUUAAGGCUGAAGCCAUCUGGGAUGAAGUUCAUCUAAGGAUGAAGAGGAGGAGAAUGAACAGGGGAAGACAGAAGGACUGCUAUGGGUAUUCCAAUUACCUUCAAGCCUUCACUACUAAGUCAUUUGAAUUGAAACUGCUAAAUAUAGAGCUUCCUUUGGGUGCAUGUUUCCAGAGUUAAGCAGGAAGGAUUUUUACCCUCAGCUGCAACUUUGACUCUGACAGUUCACAAAAUAGUGAAGGACGAGCCUGUGCACAAGGUACUCCCAGUACAUCCAAAGGCACUGCCUGUGGGGUUCUGCAGUGAAUUGUCUGCCUACAGGGAAACCUUAGGAAAAGCUUUUAACAGAUUCCUGCAAGAAGAAUUAAAUAGUUCUUCAGAGAAGAGAUGGAAGGAGAAAAAAAUAUCUUUCCAUACCCAGCACCUGCUCCAGCCUCAUAUAACUGGAUGAUUAUAGCAUUCCUGUCUUAAA